GACGAACGCUGGCGGCGUGCCUAAUACAUGCAAGUCGAACGCACAGUUUAUACCGUAGCUUGCUACACCAUAAACUGUGAGUUGCGAACGGGUGAGUAACGCGUAGGUAACCUGCCUGGUAGCGGGGGAUAACUAUUGGAAACGAUAGCUAAUACCGCAUCAUAUUGAUUAUUGCAUGAUAAUUGAUUGAAAGAUGCUAUUGCAUCACUACCAGAUGGACCUGCGUUGUAUUAGCUAGUAGGUGAGGUAACGGCUCACCUAGGCGACGAUACAUAGCCGACCUGAGAGGGUGAUCGGCCACACUGGGACUGAGACACGGCCCAGACUCCUACGGGAGGCAGCAGUAGGGAAUCUUCGGCAAUGGACGAAAGUCUGACCGAGCAACGCCGCGUGAGUGAAGAAGGUUUUCGGAUCGUAAAGCUCUGUUGUAAGAGAAGAACGGGUGUGAGAGUGGAAAGUUCACACUGUGACGGUAUCUUACCAGAAAGGGACGGCUAACUACGUG
rnacentral:rRNA from 1 species